rnacentral:rRNA from 1 species
GGGUUGUGAGGUUAAGCGACUAAGCGUACACGGUGGAUGCCCUGGCAGUCAGAGGCGAUGAAGGACGUGCUAAUCUGCGAUAAGCGUCGGUGAGGUGAUAUGAACCGUUAUAACCGGCGAUUUCCGAAUGGGGAAACCCAGUGUGUUUCGACACACUAUCAUUAACUGAAUCCAUAGGUUAAUGAGGCGAACCGGGGGAACUGAAACAUCUAAGUACCCCGAGGAAAAGAAAUCAACCGAGAUUCCCCCAGUAGCGGCGAGCGAACGGGGAGGAGCCCAGAGCCUGAAUCAGUGUGUGUGUUAGUGGAAGCGUCUGGAAAGGCGUGCGAUACAGGGUGACAGCCCCGUACACAAAAAUGCACAUAUUGUGAGCUCGAUGAGUAGGGCGGGACACGUGGUAUCCUGUCUGAAUAUGGGGGGACCAUCCUCCAAGGCUAAAUACUCCUGACUGACCGAUAGUGAACCAGUACCGUGAGGGAAAGGCGAAAAGAACCCCGGCGAGGGGAGUGAAAAAGAACCUGAAACCGUGUACGUACAAGCAGUGGGAGCCUCUUAAUGGGGUGACUGCGUACCUUUUGUAUAAUGGGUCAGCGACUUAUAUUCUGUAGCAAGGUUAACCGAAUAGGGGAGCCGAAGGGAAACCGAGUCUUAACUGGGCGUUAAGUUGCAGGGUAUAGACCCGAAACCCGGUGAUCUAGCCAUGGGCAGGUUGAAGGUUGGGUAACACUAACUGGAGGACCGAACCGACUAAUGUUGAAAAAUUAGCGGAUGACUUGUGGCUGGGGGUGAAAGGCCAAUCAAACCGGGAGAUAGCUGGUUCUCCCCGAAAGCUAUUUAGGUAGCGCCUCGUGAAUUCAUCUCCGGGGGUAGAGCACUGUUUCGGCAAGGGGGUCAUCCCGACUUACCAACCCGAUGCAAACUGCGAAUACCGGAGAAUGUUAUCACGGGAGACACACGGCGGGUGCUAACGUCCGUCGUGAAGAGGGAAACAACCCAGACCGCCAGCUAAGGUCCCAAAGUCAUGGUUAAGUGGGAAACGAUGUGGGAAGGCCCAGACAGCCAGGAUGUUGGCUUAGAAGCAGCCAUCAUUUAAAGAAAGCGUAAUAGCUCACUGGUCGAGUCGGCCUGCGCGGAAGAUGUAACGGGGCUAAACCAUGCACCGAAGCUGCGGCAGCGACACUAUGUGUUGUUGGGUAGGGGAGCGUUCUGUAAGCCUGUGAAGGUGGCCUGUGAGGGUUGCUGGAGG